GCCCAUGUAGCUCAGGUGGUAGAGCGGAUCCUUGGUAAGGAUGAGGUUCACGGGUUCGAGCCCCGUCGUGGGCU
rnacentral:tRNA from 1 species